rnacentral:misc_RNA from 1 species
GCGAUCUUUCUGCAGACUGCGGCCGGCCUCUGGUGGUCACUCUCGCGCUGUCUGGAUUCACGCAGUACUCUCUCAUUGCCAUCUGUUCCUCCACCUCAACCUCUCUCUAUCUUUCUAUUUAUCGUCGCCAUCCAAUCUUUGUGUCGCCCCUCAGUCUCGCCUUUGGACAGAACCAAUCUCUCCGCCUCUCAACCUCGCCGCUGCACAGAAGCAAUCCGCUGCCCCUCAUCCUUCCCGCAUCACAGAAGCAAUCCAUCAGGAACAAGUAAACCAAAACACCAAGGAAAAUGGAUGCUGGUCUGAAUGGAGAUUCUAUGGAAAAGCUUAAGGGUGUGCAAAUUACCUCUCUUGAUGAUGAUGAUGAUGAUGAUUUUGAAGGACAAGAAAAUGAAGAAGAACAAGAACCAACUCUUGAAGAAGAAGAAGACGAUGAUGAUGACGAAGAAGAAGAACCAGUAACCCUAGGUUUUGUGGAGAAGCCUAAACAUUCUUGGUCUCUUCUUCGGCAAUUAUUUCCUAGCAAGGCUGGUGGUGUGCCGGCAUGGUUAGAUCCAGUCAAUGUACCAUCUGGAAGGUCCUGUGCUUGUGACAUAUGUGGAAAUCCCCUUCAAUUUUUGCUUCAGGUCUAUGCACCAAUAUCUGAGAAGGAAUCAACAUUUCAUCGAACAUUAUUCUUAUUUAUGUGCCCCAAAAUGUCGUGUCUUCGUCGUUAUCAACAUGAACAAUGGAAGUGCAGGUCAAAGAACUCAUCUCGAAGUGUGAAGGUUUUCCGUUGUCAAUUGCCUCACCUUAAUCCUUUUUACUCAAGUGAGGCCCCAAGACUUGAUGGAACGGACAAACCUUCUAGAUCUGGAGUUGCACUUUGUAAUUGGUGUGGUACCUGGAAAGGAGAUCAAUUUUGUAGUAGUUGCAAAAAAGCACGUUACUGCUCGCAGCAACACCAGGUAAUAUGAUGUCUUAAGUUCACAUUAGUUUAAUUUAUGACAUCCAUUCCUAAUUUAUGUGCAUUUUCCUCUUUCUUUCUUUUCAAAAUUUUCAGGUUGUGCACCGUAAAAUUAAUUGUCAGCAACUGAGUCUUUCUUCUCAAUUACCUAACUCUAGCUCCAGCUGUGGUGAAACCACUUCAUUGGAGAUAAUUAAAGGUUAAUAUAUUCAUUAUGAACGUAAGAAAUUACACUGAUUUACUUUAUUUUAUAGUGUAUACAUGUUACCAUACUUUUUCUUCUUGUAUAAUAAUUUUGAUCAUAAAAGGCAAUUGCAUUUGAUAUGGUUGAUCUUAUACAUACACCUAAUACAACAAUGCCUAUUUAUCUGGCAUAUAGUAAUGCCUGAAACUUGGGUGCUUAAGGAAUGCAUAGUUGAUUACAUUUUAUAUAAUAAAAUUGAGAAUCACAAGUACUUGGUAUCUGAUGUGUUUAUGCACACAUCUGUGUAUAGAAUUAACAAUGGCCUUGUGUUGGGUUUAUUUAAUGAAGUUUAUGCAUCAUAAAUAGUUUUGUAAAAUUUUACUUCUGAUUAGAUUUGGUGUUUUCAAACAGCUGCUAGCAAUGCUCUUUGGCUAGAGUACGAGAUAAUAAAUGAGGAUGAAAGUGAAUUGCAUGCUGAAAUGUCUGAUGAUAAGGCAUAUGAUAAGCCGUUGAUAUCAAAGAAGAGAACUGAUGACUCAAUGAUGUCAUUAGUGGACUGUUUCAAGGUGUCAAUUGUCGAUAUUAGUAAUGGAAAAAAAAUUUUUAAAUACUUUUUGAGUUCCCUCCAUGCUUAUUUACUGUUGGUAACAGGGGGAUAGUGACAGAAAAUGCUGGGCUUCUUUCCAAGAGCGUAUAGCCAAAGCUCCAGAACAAGUGUUGAGGUAAUAAUGAACUCAUCAAAUUCACUGUUUGUAUGCAUUUAUGGUCCUCAAUAUGACAUGGAAAAUUCACUGUUUAUAGACUCAUCAAGCUCUGCAUUUAGUGUAUAAUUUAUUGGCUAUCAUAUGGAAGCUGGAAAUGCAAAGCAAGGGGAUCCCAUUUGGUGGAUGAUUUUAGAGGCAUGAUGGUUCGUAAUUCCAGAGAAACCACAAGUUGUCAGCCACACAUGCAAAUUUAUGCACAAAUGAUUAUUUAAUCCAGGGUUACAAACAAAUAUUUGGGUUAUAGUAUUUAUCCAAUAUAUUUGUGCUCUAUAUGUCAUCAUAUAUCAUUUGGGACCAAAAUGAUUUAAGUGAACAAUUUCUUAAUAAGUGUUGGGAGUUAGUAUUGUGAGAUACACAAAUGUUGUAAUCAUGGGUCAAAUGGUUUGCUCUGCUGGAUGGCAGCAAGCUUCAUAUCUGCUGUAAAUUAUAAUCUGAAAAGUUGGUUGACUUUUGAUAUAGUGUUUUGGUGGUUUCUUACCUAGUUGAAUCACAUUUUCUUUCCUAUUUGUAUUUCACUGUUUGUUUUCCUUGCUGGUUUCUUUAUUGAUUUGUAUGUCAUACUACAAUUUCCAAUGUUCUAAUGUUUGUAUAAUUGUAUACUAUAACAGAUAUUGCAGGAAUGCCAAUGCAAAACCCCUCUGGCCGACGUCUAGUGGCCGGCCAUCUAAGGAUGAUAUUCCUAACUGCAGUUAUUGUGGCAGUUCCUCAGAUUUUGAAUUUCAGGUCUUGCCCCAGUUGCUUUACUAUUUCGGCGUGAAGAAUGACGAUGUGGAUUCUCUUGAUUGGGCAACUAUCGUUGUGUAUACGUGCAGAGCCUCUUGUGAGGCUAGUGUAGCUUACAAACAAGAGUUUGCUUGGGUUCAACUCUGACGACCUUUUGCUGAUGUAGUUUAUCCAAUUUACAUGGGACAUUGUGGAUCUUGAAUCUCCAUUCUCAUUAUAAUCGUAUUCGAUGCUUUUAGUCCAAAUCGCUUUCCAGAAUAACCAAAAUGCCUCGGACGCGCAACAACCUGAAAUGAGUUGUAACCAUAUAAUACAUUUUAAAUAUGCGGCCUUAGCAGUUCAUAACUCUCUUGCUCUAUAAUUCAAUUUUGAUAGAAUUGGGCUUAAGUGUAACCAAUUUUAUAAAAUUAAAACUGUAAGAUUCUAAAUGAAUUUUUGCG